rnacentral:rRNA from 1 species
GACGAACGCUGGCGGCGUGCCUAAUACAUGCAAGUUGAGCGCUGUAGGUUGGUACUUGUACCAACUGGAUGAGCAGCGAACGGGUGAGUAACGCGUGGGGAAUCUGCCUUUGAGCGGGGGACAACAUUUGGAAACGAAUGCUAAUACCGCAUAAAAACUUUAAACACAAGUUUUAAGUUUGAAAGAUGCAAUUGCAUCACUCAAAGAUGAUCCCGCGUUGUAUUAGCUAGUUGGUGAGGUAAAGGCUCACCAAGGCGAUGAUACAUAGCCGACCUGAGAGGGUGGUCGGCCACAUUGGGACUGAGACACGGCCCAAACUCCUACGGGAGGCAGCAGUAGGGAAUCUUCGGCAAUGGACGAAAGGCUGACCGGGCAACGCCGCGUGAGUGAAGGAGGGUUUCGGAUCGUAAAACUCUGUUGGUAGAGAAGAACGUUGGUGAGAGUGGAAAGCUCAUCAAGUGACGGUAACUACCCAGAAAGGGACGGCUAACUACGUG